rnacentral:rRNA from 1 species
GACGGAGGGUGCAAGCGUUGUUCGGAAUUACUGGGCGUAAAGGGCGCGUAGGCGGUCUGUUAAGUUCGGUGUGAAAGCCCCCGGCUCACCUGGGGAACUGCGCCGGAAACCGACAGACUCGAGUACCGGAGAGGAGGGUGGAAUUCCUGGUGUAGCGGUGAAAUGCGUAGAUAUCUGGAGGAACACCGGUGGCGAAGGCGGCAUCCUGGACCGGUAUUGACGCUGAUGCGCGAAAGCCAGGGGAGCAAACGGG